rnacentral:rRNA from 1 species
CCUACGGGUGGCAGCAGUCGAGAAUCAUGCACAAUGGGGGAAACCCUGAUGGGGCGACGCCGCGUGGGGGAAUGAAGGUCUUCGGAUUGUAAACCCCUGUCAUGUGGGAGCAAAUUAAAAAGAUAGUACCACAAGAGGAAGAGACGGCUAACUCUGUGCCAGCAGCCGCGGUAAUACAGAGGUCUCAAGCGUUGUUCGGAAUCACUGGGCGUAAAGCGUGCGUAGGAUGUUUCGUAAGUAGUGUGUGAAAGGGGCGGGCUCAACCCGCGGAUGGCAAAUGAUACUGCGAGACUAGAGUAAUGGAGGGGGAACCGGAAUUCUCGGUGUAGCAGUGAAAUGCGUAGAUAUCGAGAGGAACACUCGUGGCGAAGGCAGGUUCCUGGACAUUAACUGACGCUGAGGCACGAAGGCCAGGGGAGCGAAAGGGAUUAGAUACCCGGGUAGUC